GCCUCCGUGGCGCAAUUGGCUAGCGCGUUCGGCUGUUAACCGAAAGGUUGGUGGUUCGAGCCCAGCCGGGGGCG
rnacentral:tRNA from 1 species